GACGAACGCUGGCGGCGUGCCUAAUACAUGCAAGUCGAGCGGACGUUUUUGAAGCUUGCUUCAAAAACGUUAGCGGCGGACGGGUGAGUAACACGUGGGCAACCUACCUUAUCGACUGGGAUAACUCCGGGAAACCGGGGCUAAUACCGGAUAAUAUCUAGCACCUCCUGGUGCCGGAUUAAAAGAGGGCUUCUUGCUCUCACGAUGAGAUGGGCCCGCGGCGCAUUAGCUAGUUGGAGAGGUAACGGCUCCCCAAGGCAACGAUGCGUAGCCGACCUGGGAGGGUGAUCGGCCACACUGGGACUGAGACACGGCCCAGACUCCUACGGGAGGCAGCAGUAGGGAAUCUUCCGCAAUGGACGAAAGUCUGACGGAGCAACGCCGCGUGAGUGAUGAAGGGUUUCGGCUCGUAAAGCUCUGUUAUGAGGGAAGAACACGUACCGUUCGAAUAGGGCGGUACCUUGACGGUACCUCAUCAGAAAGCCACGGCUAACUACGUGCCAGCCGCCGCUGUAA
rnacentral:rRNA from 1 species